UCUCUCUCUCUCUCUCUCUCUCUCUCUCUCUCUCUCUCUCUCUCUCUCUCCCUCCCUCCUCCCCCCCCCCUCUCUCCUCCCUCUCCUCCUAGAGAAUUUGAUGCGACCAUGUCUAACCAAACCCACCGAUGAACAUCUCAAUCUCUUUUCCCUGAAUAUGGAAAUCUUUUAUCUGAACAAAACCACUAAAUACAGGUCAAAUUGCAGCUUUGGCAGUGGUUAGGCACUAGAAACUUGCAAACCAAAAGAGAAGUGUAGGUAGCAUCUAACAACCAUGGAGACAUUAUUAUAGAACUUUGCUAGGUGCACACUAGACAUACUUAAACAUAAUCUUAACAUCAAAAUCAAGGACCCUAGAGCCAUCCCAGAGCGGGGGGUCGGGUGUACUAAACUAGACCAAAUGGUUCAGUCGGUCAAUCCAGUCCCCCCUUUUUUUAUAAAAUACCCCUCCACCCUUCCGAUCCUCUCCCUCUAUCUCGACUCUUCUCUCUCUCCUCUCUCCCAAUCUCUUCAUUCCCCUCCCCCUCUCUCCCUCUCAAGAUUCUACUCUCCGGAGCUUCCUCUCCCCUUGCCUCUCUUUCGUGAUGCUCCGCCGCCACCGAUGACUAUGCUAUGACGAUAGCUCGUAAGUAUGCCUCUCCUUCCCUCUCUCCCUCUCCCUCCCGAUUCCACUCUCGGGAGCUUCCUCUCCCUCUCGAUGCUCCACCACCACCGACAACUCCAUGACAACAAUGGCUCCACAACGACAGCUGCUCCAUGGCGAUGAUGCGUAGGAUUACAGUUCUGUACCGUGACACCAAGGUACGUCCCUCUCACACCCCCCCUCCCCUCUCCCCCUUUCUCUCCCCCCCCCCACCUCCCCCUAUUUUUGGUACGCCUCAACUCAGUAAGGUAUGUAUUGGUACCAGGUUCAGCAACUCUUGAUUAAGAUAAAGUAGAACCAAUUUAAAAUUCUAAAACACAUUGUUACCAUGCUCAUACAUAGUGAGUUCUAUUUAUCAUAUACUUAGCUACCCUUUGUAUAAACAGGCACGGCUGCAAACUCGAGCAAAGAUGUCAUGACGAUAAAUAAAAUUUUCGGUUGCUUGCUGUAAAACAGACGCGGAAGCAAAAUAUGGCUAUGGAGAGAUUUCGAAAGAAGGUAUCACUUCAAAGUUCGGGCAAUUGAGAUCAUGUGAACAUUUGAUAAAGACUAUUCCAAUCAGAUUUAACCAGUUAGAUAGCUUGAGUAGAGUUAAAGGGCUACAAAAGUUGGUAGGUGGAUUAGGGAGGUCUGGUACAAUCAAAAAGUUAAUCUAUGGGUGGGAAUGGGUCAAGCAACAAGGAUCCACUAGUAGGUCAGUUGGCAUCAGUCUAGUACAUACAUCCAACCAUAUAACAUAACCUAUAUCUUACCCUUUCCACUACCACCCAUAAUCUACUGUCCAACGCAGUAUCUAACCUCUAAACUUGCAGCCACUCCUCCAUACCACUCUCAAAUAACAAAUCUAGUCAUCUUUUAUGAGUUCAUGCCUCUCAAUCUCUAACAUGUCAGCUCAAUCUCCCAUUCCUUCUCAAUCAUAGUUUUUUUCUAUAUCCCACUUUCUAGAAAAUUAAACUAGAUCAUGUAUAACUGAUACUAACAACUAAUUUCUCCACCCUUGACAAGCAUGAAUAGAAUGUGUGAUACCGCAAUCUAUAGGGGGCGUUUGGUAUGGGGUAAUCGUCCCAGGAUCAAGGGUGAUGUGGGUGGAGGUGAUGAGAUCACCGCGUUUGGUUGCACCAGGGUGAUCUUACGUAGCGGUGAUCCUAAAUCAUCUCCACUCCUCAAAUCACCGCCCAACCCGGUGAUGGGAUACCUGUCCUUGAGGUCGGAAAUGCAAGAUCACCCCAGGGCAGUGAUCCUGAGUUGAAAAUUAAAGACAAAAAAUACCCCUCAAUUUAGCAGAAAAAUUGAUAUAUCAAUAUAUCAUCAAUAUAUUAUGUCAAAGUUAUAUAUAUAUAUAUAAUAUUAUGUUGAUAUUAUAUAUUAUAUUAAUGAUAUAUAUUAUAUUAUAAUAUAUUACUAAUCAUAUUAUUAUCAUAUUAUUAUUGAAGGAUAAAUUUAAAUUAUAGUAGAAAUAUAUUAUUAUAUUUUAUACUUAUAUAAUAAAAAUAUUUAAUAUAUUACUCCUAUUUAUCUUAUUUUUAUAAUCAAAAUAAUUAUUU
rnacentral:lncRNA from 1 species